GAUGAACGCUGACAGAAUGCUUAACACAUGCAAGUCUUUGGCGAAUCUGUGCUUGCACAGGCUAGCCAAGGCGGACGGGUGAGUAACGCGUGAAGAACUUGCCCUGCAGACAGGGAUAACAGACGGAAACGACUGAUAACACCUGAUACAGUUGCCGGCACGCAUGUGCCUGGCAAUGAAAAGAGAUGCUGCAGGAGAGCUUUGCGUCCUAUUAGCUUGUUGGUGAGGUGACGGCUCACCAAGGCGAUGAUAGGUAGCCGGCCUGAGAGGGUGAACGGCCACAAGGGGACUGAGAUACGGCCCUUACUCCUACGGGAGGCAGCAGUGGGGAAUAGUGGACAAUGGGGGCAACCCUGAUCCAGCAAUUCUGUGUGCACGAAGAAGGUUUUCGGAGUGUAAAGUGCUUUCAGCAGGGAAGAAGAAAGUGACGGUACCUGCAGAAGAAGCGACGGCUAAAUACGUG
rnacentral:rRNA from 1 species